CCUUCUUGUUGGGGGCCUUCCCAGCACGAAAUGAUGGAGUAGAAGGAGAUUGUUCACAGGAAUGUUCGCUUAAAGAAAAGCGACCUAAGGGUCCUUUCUGGCAGAUUCCCAGAUGCGUGUGCCUCUGAGAUUGAAGAGCUGGAACAUUCUGUCCUGGCCUCUGACCACAGGAUAAUAAAAUGUAGUGUCUAUGGAGUUCGGCCUGGAAAUGGUUUCGGCUAUUUCAGGAACACCGUCUCUGAGAAUUCGUUGACACCUCGGUAAAAGAAGAAUCAUUCUCAGAUUUGAGGCAUAUCCAUAUUCAGUAAGAAGUAGAGGGCUGCCAAGAUGGAGAAAUUCUGGGCACAGAUUGGAAACAUAGCUGAAGAAUUCUCCAAUAAGGAGGGAAUAAGAAGACCUCAUCUCUUCUGUGGUCCAAGCAAGAUACUAUGACUUUGUGGCAUCAAGAUUUCAGGU